UUCUUUUCUGUCAAACAUUAACAAGAAUCAGCCAUAGGUACCCAUAUAUCUCCUCCCUUUUGAACCUCUCACCCCUCUAGGGUGAUACAAGAUCAUCUCUUAGUGAAGACCCAGGGGUGCUUUAUGGAAACCACUGUGAGCGAAUGACACUCGAACUGCAUCUGCCAGCUUUACGGGAAGAGGUAGGAGAUGACAAGACUGCCAUCAAAUGUGAAACCUCGACCCCCCACCUCGCUGCAGUCCCUUCGGCUGGACUGCCUGCACACGGGGGCGCUGCGCAUAGCCACCCACGAGGAUAUCAGGGACACCCACAACUCGACAGGCUCUCAGGACAACCCCGGGAACAACCCCAGCAGCAGAACCAGCAGGCAGGACUCGCUGCACAAAGCCCCAAAGAAAAAGGGCAUCAAUCAAGUCCUCCAUUAGCUGCUUGUUUCGCAAGAAGGAAAAGGGCCAGCCUGAAAACCCCAGCAAGGAGGCAUUAGGACCAGGUGGGUGCUUCACUGUUCAGAGGGAGGAGGGCCUGCAGGCAUGUCCCUUCUGUGUCUCCUCCAUUGUCCCCACGAGGCUCCAGUCACUCACACUGGGAGUCCUCCUGGGAGCAGGAGCAGAAGAGGUGUCUGUCUUCUCAAUGGGUCUGAGAUGAUCAGAUGAGCUAAUGAGUCGAUGGAUGG
rnacentral:lncRNA from 1 species